CACAUUUUACGGGAAUUUCUGACGACGCUGCUGCCCUGAUGCCAACUAGAAAUUCCAGCUUCGAUAACACCAUGGCCGCCUGGUCGUGUCCUGUUGGUGCGAGUGACAGGCAGGUGUUUCUCUCUGCACCAAGGCGUAUCAGCGUAUUCCAAUAUCCGGUUGUUAUGGCGGGACGCAUCACAGCGUUUCUUCUCAUGUGUGCCAUGCUCGCCUACGGUAUCAUGGCCAUUCCAACUAACCAAGAUGCUACAGCACGAAGCAAUUCAGGGCCGACAAGUGCUGCCAAUGAAGAUGCAAGAAUCGACACAGCUGUGAUUCAAAGCUUGGCUGGUGGAGGCCUCGGCUGAAACUCACGUGAUUGGCUGCACCAAGAGAGCUGGGCGACAAAACUGUUUUUUUGUCGCGCGCUCGCUGCUUUCUUUAGUGAGUGCAUUUUUCACCAGUGAAAUGGAA